AUUGAACGCUAGCGGCAUGCUUAACACAUGCAAGUCGAGCGAGCGGCGGACGGGUGAGUAAUGUCUGGGAAACUGCCUGAUGGCGGGGGAUAACUACUGGAAACGGUGGCUAAUACCGCAUACCAUCAGAGCGGCCGAGAUGGGAUUAGCUAGUUGGUGGGGUAAUGGCUCACCAAGGCGACGAUCCCUAGCUGGUGUGAGAGGAUGACCAGCCACACUGGAACUGAGAAACGGUCCAGACUCCUACGGGAGGCAGCAGUGGGGAAUUUUGGACAAUGGGGGCAAGCCUGAUGCAGCCAUGCCGCGUGUAUGAAGAAGGCCUUCGGGUUGUAAAGUACUUUUAGCGGGGAGGCGGUACCUGCAGAAUAAGCACCGGCUAACUCCGUGCCAGCAGCCGCGGUAAUAC
rnacentral:rRNA from 1 species